AUCAAAAUCUCUUCUGCAGUUGACAUCUGUGGGGUUUGCCUGGGAAGAGCGCCCUCUAUGGCAGCACAGUGUGGCUGAGGUCAUUAUCUCUCACCUUCCUCCCCAUGUCUGUAUGCUUUCAUCGCACGGCUCGAUGACACGGGGCCUGGAAUAUGGCUGGCAGCCACUGAACCCCAGGCGGGAAGUCCGUUUGGGGAUGGAAGAAGAUGGAGGAUGUUGUGGUACCCCAUUACAGCAAUAGCAUCUCUGCUACAGUACACCUGGGAUGACAGCAGGAAGAUGUUUCACCAAUUCUUGGUUCAUGCAGCUUUUCAGACCAGCAGGUGGCUUCCAAGAGACCAAAGGCUGAAAUUUCAGAUCGUUCUUUUCAUCUUCGUGGUGCUUUUCAUCGCUCCACAGUUGUACGUCUUGUGCAGGCCAAAGUCUUCUCGCUAUUGUGAAAAGCCGCUGUUAAACAACUUAAUAGUCUUCAUUGUGUUCUCCUUUAUAGCAACAGGUUUGGCUGUAGUCCUCACACUCACAGAUCCGGUUCCCAAGAUUUUCAGGGUGGCGUAUCACUUAUUUGGUUUGUUCUCAUUUACCUGCGGUCUCUUUACGGCCGCACUUACCCUGACUGCACCUCAGUGUGCAAACACCACCCCAGAGUUGUAUAUAUUUUCAUUGGUAGUCUCUUGGGCUUGCAUACUCUCAACAGUUUUCUUUAUGGUCAGAGGAAGUCUUUUCCUGAUCCAUUCCCUAUGGGGUGAAAUAUGAGUCCUAUUCUCUGUAUGGCCUUCUGCUGACACUGAAUACAGGCCAAGAUGGUCCCACAUCUCAAAUUUAACUUGGCUGAGCAACAUUGAAAUAUGCAGCUGUCUAGCUGCCCGACAGUUGUUUGGCGAGGAACUGGGCGCUAUUAAAGUCAUGCCCAAAUGGCUUCUCCAGUACCACCCUCAGCCACACGUCAGCCGCGGGACGACAGGUGCUGUUAAUCUUUUCUGCAAUGUCCGCGUACGUGAACGCUGGGACGGACAGGUAGAAGAGCCUGCCUGCUUCCACCAUUCCCUCCUGCUCCAUCUGCUGUUUGAUGUGCUGGUUGAGCUUCUCAUAGUCUUCAAGGGUCUUCAGCUGGCGAUACUGAGAGAGAUGGAGAAACUGCUCUUUGACCAACGCACAGCGCUCUGCGGAAAGCUCCGGAGGGCAAGCCAGCUCCUUCAAGAUGCCAAACAGCAUCGGCGUGCCCUUGUCAUCGGGCGAAAGGGCACCGGCGUAAAAUGAGAAGGUGUGUCCUUUGCCCACCUGGUCUGCAUAAAGCUGGAAGAAGCCUUGCCACAGGUACUUCCUCGCCAGAUCGCCCGUUCCACCCACGAUGACCACAGACACAUGACCUUGCUUAGACUCGCUAAUAUCUGUGUGACCUCUUUGCCAGUAUAUGAUGGCCAAUAGCAGCAGUUCCCAUCUCAUUCUCAGCAUUGUAAUGCCAAGCAGCCUCCCUUGAAAAAAAAUAAGAUGAAUGAGUUAUUAAUGAGCUGUCAAUGAUUUUUUAUGAAUAUAUUAAAUGUUUCAAAGCAUGAGCACUCAAAAAGUAAAAAAAGUCCAAACCUCUAAAACUACAUUGACUAGUAGCUUGAUUAAUUGGUUGUUUAUGACUGCUUAUAGAUUUCACCAAAGGCUACACAUGCAAGAACCUGUAAAAUGUUAACCUUAUGCAAAUAUUUGUCUGAUGAUUACAAUCUUCACAAAAGCACAUGAUACUGCUGUCAACAGACUAAGAUGAGACCUAAAUAUACACAUCAUAAAAAUAAUUGCACAUCUGGAUGAAAAUGAUACAAAGGAGCAAAAAUUUAGAUCACUUACACUCCUUGGGUAAUAUUUUAAGUUUUAAAAAGUAAAUGCAAUAAAUCAGUAAAACACAAAUAAAUUAACAACACAGUCUAAAUGAAAUAUGACAGGUAAGUUGGCGGUUUAACAUUUUUCAGUAUUGGGACAUCAGCGAGCGAUUUCUCAGUACAAACACAAACCGUUAUGUUCAGUUAAAAUGAGUCAUGUUCGCAAGUCAUGGUGCUUCAAAUGUUUAACGGUUUAUUAACAUCCUUGUCUGAAAAGUUAGAUCCUGGAUAAGUGUAGUCCAUUGAACAUAUGUUCAUCAUGUAAUGUCAGUUUUAUUAUGGGACAUUUAAGAUUCAGUUAUCUAUUGUGUGGAUGAUAUGCCCAAGACGACAUACGCUACUGGCCUACCUGAACUAUACCGUUUACUCUCAAAAUCAAGGUUAUGCCAACAGACCCAAAACAAACACCACAUUUACGGUAAAAAGGACAGUGAAGGUUACACAACCCUGCUUGAAAGAGAAAUUACAGAAAUCUUAAAAACCUUACUGUAAUCCUUUGAUCUCAUAAGGGAAAGAUUUUGGUAGUAAUGUUUGUUGAAGAAUGCAGAUGAAUCGAGUUUAAAUGCCUAUUUCAGCUAUUACCAGUAAAAAUACAUGAUUAUAGGUCAGUUUCCCGGACAGGGUUAAGAUUAAUUCAGGACUAGGGCUUAGUUAUUUUAGGACAUUUAAGUAGUUUUUGGUUUUAACAAACAUACCUUAGAAAAAAACAUAACUGAUGUGCAUUUUGAGACGGAACAAUGGCACUGAUAUGUUAAGAUACGUCAGUGCAAGAUGUUUUUUAAUUGAGCCAGCUCAAAUAAAGCAAUAAGUCCCAAGAAGCAGUGGGUUACCAGUGCAUUUUAUAACAGCUAAGGGGCAUUGUUAGACACCCUUAGCUGUUAUAAAAUGCACGGUAACACCACUGCUUCGCGGGGCUUAUUGCUUUUAUAAAACAGUUACUUUAUAUGCAUAGCAGGUUUUCAUCAAAUAAAACACAAAUAAGUUGUAAUUAUAUUAGUACAAAUAUUACUCUUCCGCCAAAGUAGUUCAUCAGAAUCAAGUGUGGCUGCUAGGGCUGUCACGAUUAAGAAAUUUGGCUGACGGUUAAUUGCUUAAUAAAUUGUGACAAUUAUGACGAUUAAUUGCCUGUGUUUUAUUGCUUUGCCAUUUAAUUCUCAAACAUUUUUUUUUUGUUUUUCACACAAAAACUGAAAAUUCUUUAUAAGAAAUAAACACAAGUGUCUGAAAAAUAACUGAAAAUAAAAAUGCAAUAAAAAUAAACUGACUACCAGAACAGGCCAUAAAUAGUAGCCAAUUCUACUAAGGUCAUUUUAGUACAAUUAAUACACAUGUAUUGAAUGGCUUUGCAAUGUAUCAUGUUGCACUGUCAGUUAAGGAGUGCCAUCUGAUACGGUCUCAUUUAUACAGGCAGUGCAGCUCCCCCUUGUGUUUUUUAAAGAGAUGUGAAAUCAUUGCGGUGAUCUGAAAUCAUCGCGAUGAGGUCAAACAAUCGCGAUGAGACGAUGAUUUAAUUAUUGUGACAGCCCUAGUGGCUGCAACAGAGUGCAGUUCCCAAGCAGCACAGAUUAAAAUAUGAUUAAAGUCUGUGGUGUUUAUUUUCAUAGAUCAGUACAUAGCAACAGUGGUGCAGUGAUACUUAUGUAAUGCGGUCUGAACCGUGGGGUUACCAGGCUAUUUUAUCGCAGCUUAGAACGUAUUUCAACCAGUCAGAAUGAAGAACCAGAACGGGCCGUUUUAUAACAUGCAUUUUAGUCAGCUCAAACAUGCAUUUUAGUCUGGGACUAGGAUAAGCUCGGUCUGGGAAACCUAAAUCAUCUUAGAUAAGAAAAUUCUGUGAAAAUAUAAACUUGAUAUAUUUAUAUAAGGUCAUGACAAAGAUUGAAAUCAAUUUAAACUUUGAUGCUCUUAAACUCAAAAUUAGAUCAUGAGACUUUAGAUUGGAUUUCACAGACAGGGUCCAUAUUGGUCCACACUAAUGUUCUUGGAAUAAUAAAUCUAAAAGGAUAAAGUUAAACAAGACGCAUCUUGUGUUCUGCGUGGAGGCCAAAUAUAUGAAUACACGCAAGCAUUAUGCUUAUACAGACCAAGCACUGUUUGCUUAUUUGGGUGUUACAAUUGUCAAACAUUGACAAAAAACGCUUUCCUUAAAGUCUAUUCUAAACAAUCAGAUGAAUAUAACAGGAUGGAUUACAGUUCAUCAAACUCUUUCUGAUGCUACAGUGCAGUACUUUAUGAACUCUGAACAAAAUUUUUUAAUUUUUUUAAUUAUGCUAAAUUUUAAAAACUUGAUGCAUAACAGAAAGGAACAACCCAAUUCAGUAGUUAUAAACAAACCAUAACUUUAUUUAUAAAAUACAUUGCAAUGUUUGAGCUGUUGUUCAAUGUUUACCUGUUAUCUUGUAUGAUCAUAUCAAUAAAUAACUUUUGAUAGUCAA